CCUACGGGAGGCAGCAGUGGGGAAUAUUGCACAAUGGGGGGAACCCUGAUGCAGCGACGCCGCGUGGGUGAUGAAGUACUUCGGUAUGUAAAGCCCUAUCAGCAGGGAAGAAAAUGACGGUACCUGACUAAGAAGCCCCGGCUAACUACGUGCCAGCAGCCGCGGUAAUACGUAGGGGGCAAGCGUUAUCCGGAUUUACUGGGUGUAAAGGGAGCGUAGACGGCGUGGCAAGUCUGAUGUGAAAGGCCAGGGCUCAACCCCGGGACUGCAUUGAAAACUGGCAUGCUGGAGUGCAGGAGGGGCAAGCGGAAUUCCUAGUGUAGCGGUGAAAUGCGUAGAUAUUAGGAGGAACACCGGUGGCGAAGGCGGCUUGCUGGACGGUAACUGACGUUGAGGCUCGAAAGCGUGGGGAGCAAACAGGACUAGAUACCCGAGUAGUC
rnacentral:rRNA from 1 species